UCAGCAUGACCUGAUGAGUGGUGCCAUGUCUGCGCCCAAGAUCCAAAACUGCAAAACCCUGGGCCACCAAAGCCAGUGUGCCCACCCAACCACUUGACCGCUGGGUGGCCCCUACCCUAUUUUUAAAAAUAGCUUUAUUGACAUACAAUUCACAUACUGUGGUAGGCUGAAAAAUGACCCCUCCUAUCACCUGCCAAGAUAUCAGAUCUUAAUUCUUUGAACUUAUAAAUGGUACCUCAUAUGGAAACAGGGUUUAUACAGAUGUAAUAAAGUUAAGGAUCUUGAAAUGGGGAGAUUAUCUUGGAUUAUCAGAGUGAGCCCUAAAUGCAGUCAUGUGUAUCCUGGUCAGAGGGAGAUCUGACACACACUGAUGCUGUGCGAUGGGGGAGCAGAGAGAGAUUUGGAGAUGCUGGCGGAUUGGAGCGAUGCAGACCACAAGCUGAGGAAAACCAGCAGCCCCCAGAAGCUGGAGGAGGCAAGGAAUGGAUUCUUCCUGGAUCCACCAGAGGGAGCAUGGCGCUGCCAGCACCUUGCUCGUGACCCAUGACACUGAGUGGAUUUCUGGCCUCGAGAACCUUGAGAGAAUGAAUUUUUAUUGUUUUAAGCCAUCAGAUACUUCUGAUGAAGAGGAACCAUAUCCAAGGAGCUAUACCCGAGGAAGCCCAUCUUCAUCUGGGUUCAGGGGAUGAGGUCAUGGAUUUUGAGUAGAUGCUACAAUGAGAUGAGAUUCUGGCGGUCUUGGAAGGGGAACGUGGGCUGGGCAGCAUAUGAGGAGGCUUACCCUCAUCAGUUACCGACUAUCCAGCUCUUCCAUUCCUUCCAGAAACAUUUUCCAGGUGCCUCCUGUGUGCUGAGUGCUGAUGGAAGCCUUGCACACCAGGCGCAAGCAGGUGAUCAGUGAGACUGAGACAGGUGUGCCGUGGGAAGGGCCAGGCUGGCUCCUGGAAGCAGGGCAGGCUCCUUAAAUCCCCACAUGCUUUGGAACAUCUAUCUUUAGGUCCAUUUUACAGAUGAGUAAAAUGAAUUUUUAUUUCAAGGGUAGUAACUUCCUGUUAAAGUUUUAGAGCAGAAGAAUGAGACAACCAAAAUCAGGGCCUGAGGAGGCUAGUUAGGACCCACCCAUCAUGGGGGACGGGGGCCUGAGCAAUUGGAAGGAAGAAGUGAUGGGUGAAAGACAUACUUCACCCACAAUAGUAGCUUUUAUUGUAUAUUCUCUAUAGAGGAGGCAGGACUUGGCUGUUAAAUUUUAUUUUUCUUAAGAAACCUUCUUUUAUAACUAUUUUAUAAGAUUUACAGGAUUGCCAUGCAAUUUGUGCUUGUGGAAGAAUUUUAGGCAAAUGUUUUCAAAUGUUACUCACUGAUUGAUCCACGGCUUCCAACAGCGUUUGUUGAAUAGCACUUUAGCCAGAAAACGCCUUCCUUAGCCCUCACAGCCCCCUCUCCCCGAAACCAGAACUCAGCCCUUUUAGUUGAUCACAAUCCUUAGCCCUCUCCCCAAGCUUUUCCUGAUCGCUGCUAGUUCACACACUCCUUUCCCAGGAGACCUUCAAGACACAAGCUGCCGCUAGCCAGCCUGGGGGGCACUGUCAACAGCCCUCUCAGGAAGGAGCAAACAGCUGGUCUCUGAGUCCCUGAGGGAGGAGUAAGAGGAAGCAGAUUUAAAUUUCAACAGGGACAACACAGGCCUGACACAAAUGACAAGUGUCGAAUUCUACAAGAUUUCCUUAAUUGGGCCUAAAAAGAGCAGCAGACUAGGUAGCUAUGUGCAGAAUGAUUUGGGUAUAUUUCUGCCUGGAAGCAGAGAUUUAUGACUCCUUGAUUUUUUUUUAAAGUUUGUUUAUUUUUAGAUUUGUAAAGUAACAUUUGCUCACUGUUUCAAAUUCAGAAAAUAUAGAGUGACACAUAGAAGAUAAAUAUUUCUCACUCAUAGUCCCACUACCCAGUCAUAGCCAUUAACAGUUCGAUGUAUUUCCUUCCAGUUAUUUUCAUAUAUAUAUAUGUAUAAAGUGUGUGCACAAUUUUGCAUGUUGAUGUCUCUCAUUUAGUGUCUUCCUACAUUAUUAAAUAUCCCCCAAAGCCUAUUUUGAAUGACUUUAUAAUAAUCUUUUUGUAAGAAUAGAUCAUAAUUACUAUUACCAUUUCCUUAUUUAUGUCAAUUUAGGUUGUUUACAAUUUCUCAAUAUUAAUAAAUAAGACCUGAGAUCAAAAGCUUUACAUUUAAAUCUUUAUCUCCAUUUAUGAAUGCUUCCUUCGAAGAGAUCCUUCUAGAGCAGCUCUUCUUGUGGUAUGACAACCUAACUAUCUCCAACAGGAUCAGACAUAAAUUCAGAUCAGAGGCCCCACCUGGACCUAAAUAAUCUGAAUGUCUGAGAUCUGGGCCCAGGAAUCUGCCUGUUAUAGAAAAUUUCCUGAGAUUUUUUUAGGCACACUGAAGGUUAAUAUCUUUGACAUAUGGUGUCAAAUUGCUUUCCUACAAGCCUUUUACACUUUACACCCCCACCAGCGACAGAUGAGGGUGCUUAACUCAGCAAACUCGUGAAAAACAACAGCUAAUUUGAUAGGUGAAAAAUGCUGACUUCAUGAAAGUUUUUAUGGAUGUAACGUUUGUACAAUUAUUUUUGUUUAGUUAAUUUCAGAUUUUUCUACAGUGAUAUAUUCUUAUAGUUUUAAAACUAGUUCUUUGAAAAUACUUGAUGGUGUUUUUUUCUUUUAAUGCAUCGAUAUAUUUGUACUACUUACAUUUGAUUUACAUCUGUCACAUUUAUUUUCAUACAAUUGCAAGCUGCAUGAGCACAAGGAUUUUUUUGGUCUCUUUUGUUCAUGGCUGCAUCCUCAGUGCCUAUAAUGGUGCCAAAGACACAACAGGCUCUCAGUAAAUAUUCUUCAAGUGAAUAAAUAGGUGACCUCUAGAUAGUGUUUCCCUGUACCGUGAACACAGAAACAUGCACAUCCACACACACAUACACACACCUGUGGCAGCAGCAGGCCAGCUUCUACUCCAUAAUCUUGCUUUAUGAUUUCUUAAGGUCCCUUUCUGACCUGAGGUUUGACAACUUCCUUCUCCCUUACUGGUGACCCUAUUCCAAGACAUACCAGCAGCCGUGAACAGAAGACAGGAGACCCUUGGUCAGUGGAUAAAAUUACAGAUGUGAGUAAAGUAAGUCUGAUGACCAGCAUUGCCACCACCUCUUGUCUCAUCUGCUACAAAAGGUCCCUUUCUUUCUCAGGCCCCCUGGCCUGAGUUUAUCCUGAGAAUAAAGAAAUGUGAGAUUUAAUUCUCAAUGCUUGAAUUUUGGGCAAACCGAUUUCAGUUUAUAAGGCAUCAUUUUUGGCCAAGCAUUCUGUGAGAACUGUGAUAGGAUUGAAAGCCAAAAAAUAAAACAAAACCAACUUCUGUCAUGUUGACAAAGUGGUCAUUCUAUUCGAGUGUACGUGAAAACGCACGUUAUCCUUUGCCUGAGCAAAACAUCACCAUUUCACCUCAGGAAGGUUACAUUCUUCCUGACUCACACUUUCAUGCUGCUCAAAGGUCCCUUUCUGCUGGUGGGACAAAAGAACGAAGGGCUUGCUUCCAUGAUAUCCGCAUGAUUUGGCCUUUGAGGGUACACCUGGUGCACUGCCCUCAUGUGCUUCCUCUUACCUUCUAGGACUUUUGAAAAAUAAGAACAGGAUCACAGGCUAAUGGUGUGGAGUCUACAGUCUUUGACCUUGCCUGACUAAGUCAACCACAUUUAUACAAACUUGAGGAAAUCCCCAGGUGCCAACUUGGGCUUUGGGGAAAAUUUGUCUUCUUUUAUCCUCAUAAAUGUAAAAUUGUAGUACUUGGACCACUUCUUGGAAAAGAAACUAUCUGUUUUUGUUUUAUCUUCUUCUUUUUUGGUACUUAAAAGAGCAAGAGUUAGAGAAAAAUGUGAGCAAGUUUUGAAUGUUUGCUGGAGAGGGAGCUGCCAUUUUCAAAUCAGCCACUGGGUGCAAAGACUGGUCGAUGUUGCCUGUAAACCUGUGGGCAUGUCUGUAGCUGGGAAGCUAGGAACUCAAUACGCCAUCUUCACGUUACUCUAAAUUGCCUUUCUGAUUCCAGUUUGUUCUUUGGCGAGUUUGGGUGGCAGGAGCCAGUUUUUCCAGAGACUGCUCAGAACCCCAGUUUAAGCUCGUUCCACCAGGUCCUCCCCAGCUUCUGAAGCUGUGCACAUAGAAAAUGCACUUAGUGCUUUCCAGAAAAUGGAGGUUCUCUAUCCCAUAGACUUAACACUUGCCUAUUAACUGUUGCUGGAAAAAAAAUUUUCUGGAAGUUUUUCAUACAAUAGAAUGAUCUAAAAUUGACUAUGAACAUGCAAAGAUUAAAGUAACCUCAAAUAUAUUUGCUACCAAAGACAGACAACCCUCUUCCUUAAAGUGAGUUGAAUACUGGAAAUAAAGAUUUGUAAAGUCAGAAGAGAACUAGAUAAAUUGGAGUCCAUGGCUAGCCGGGACUAGGCAAAUGCAAUGGACUUUCCUUUGCUGUAGGUUCGAAGGUGGCAGCGCUGCACGUCUUUGUUCUUAGAACUCCUCAUCGUCUUGUUAAUCUGGAAGCUUCAGGAGUGGUAGGGAGCUUCUUGGUCUGUAAGUCCUUCUUCAUUUUUCACCUAACAGGACAUAUUUAAGAGACCACGUCUCUCAAAACCAUCUCUGGCAGGGUUGCUGCCAAUAUCUGCUCCUUGCAAACAGCAAGGAGACUUAAAAACAGCAACAGCACGUCUCUAUGGGGCCCCCAGCCCUUUCUUUAUAAAUUCUUUCCCUUAAUAAAGAGAAAUUGUUGUGCUAUAUUGUGGCAGAGUUUGGGGCUUACAGAGAUAGAAUGGGAAGUAAAGGGUAACUGGCUGCCACUGUGCAGGCGCUCUCUGAUUGUAAAACCAACCCAGUAACGGAUAAUAACCACCUUAGUGCGCUUAUCAAGGCAGUUCCUCUCUGGGAUGCAGAAGAGGCCACUGGAGACAACGUGCAGGCCUCUCACCGCUCCCGUUCAUUAACAAGGCACUGCUGGCUGCAGCUCAGGCUCCAUUACCUAGAGGCAACAAUGGCCGGGACCCACAUUGAGUUGUAAUUAGGCUUGAUCAGGGCGAGGGUGCAGUUGCCAUAAUCAGGAUCACUCGGAAUUAAAUGUAUACUUGUGAAAGGAAAUGAGGGGAGAUUGAUUUAAUGGUAACCAAAGCAACCCCCUUUUCUGUAACCGUCUAAGCUUAAAGAGAGAGAGAAAGAGAGGGAGAGAGAAAAAGAAAAAAGCAGGGCAAAGGAAUACAGAAGAUGACCAUUUUAGUUUUAUGCAAUUUAUUGCAACUAGUUAGGAGAAAAUGUGUUUCAAUAAGAGCAAAUCUGUUCUAGCAAGGUGAUGGCUGGGUCCCGGAGAGCUUUGUAGGUCUCACUCCGUGCCUAAAGCAGAUCCUGUGAUUCUUAAUUUCCUCCUCCUUUUUGUCCAUUUCAUACGUGUUUGGAAACAGCCUGAUUAGGGCAAGAAUUUCAAUUUGCAGGAAAAGGAGGAGGAAAGUCAAGCUGGGCACUAUUUCCUUUCUCUGCUGAUAAUCAGUUCUUCAGUCUUUUACCUUUGGACCUAUGCAUAUCUCAGACCCAGUGACCACCAGCUUAUCUGAGAGCAAAUAGAAGAUUUCGGAGACCUGUUUGUGAAACAGUUUAAGAAGUUGCAGAGAUGUGCACUAUUUCAUUCAAUUUUACUCAGUUGUUUUUCAGGUUAGCAAGAUGCCGCUCUGGGAAUAAAAUCUCACCCUUAAGGUUUGAGAUAAUUAGUGAAACGAGCGCAUAUGCAUACAUUUUCAUUUCUGCACAUACAUGCAGAUAUUGGUACACAUGAUUUAUUCCAUUCAUACAUGUGUGAUCUCUAAUAUUUAGACAUCGUAAGUGAAAUAUUUGCUCUUUCUCUUUUCUCCCCCUUGGCAGAUUUAUGAAUCUCUUCCUACAGCACAUCAGGUUCAAGAGGAAAAAUAUCACAGUGAUUUUGAGGCUAGGAUACUGUUAAAUAUGUAGAGAAUGGCUUAAAGGGAGAAGCUUUGUUUCUUAAAUACUUCUCAGAUGAUUACGUGGAUGAGAAAAUGACGUGUAAAUAUUUUGAGCCAUUUGAGUGAGUAGGAAGUGUUGAAACAAAGUACAUUUCUUCCAGAUUUUAAAAAAAGAACUCUCUAGCUCUUUUUUUCUUUCUCUGUUGGAUAUAACACCUUAGCUAUUCAAAUAAUAAAACUAUAACAAACUUCUGAAGAAAUCAUUGAGGUGAUUGGUACAUAUUAAUGCAUAUCUGACUAUGUGGACAUUUCAUGUGUAGGUUUGUAAGUGAACCUAAGUGAGGUCAUCUAGUUACGCUAAAUGGCCCAGCCCCUCCUCUGUGUGACCACCCGCUGCUCUGCAUGUACUCUAAACAGUUCACAUGCUCUCUUGAUUUAUGGCCUUCGCUUAUGUGUGUACUCCUCUAUAGCUUGAUAAAUUAAAACUUUGUUCUAUGAGUUUCUCUCCAGGAACAGGCUGACCACAGGCCGGAAACACACCUACAAGGUAUUCAUCAUCAGUGACAGAAGAAAAGAACAACAAAGACCAUGGAGUCCAUCCUGCCUGAAGGCUGACAUUUCUAAACCCCCUCCUUACUGCCCAUUUUCCUGGUGUAACUGCCUCAAGAUUCCAUACUCCUUGAAGAUGGUUUUUUUGAGACAUUAUUCUGCCAUCUUUCUGAUUAUGCCAGCUAAUUGAAUUAAAGCGUCAUUUCUUGGUC